AAAUCUAAAAUUCAACUCAGUUUGUUAAAUACUUAUAUUAGUAAUUUUAUCGAGCUAAUAUAUUUAGUAUACUUAAAAUAUUUACCUCGACACAGCUACAAGUGCUCCAAGACCAGCCUGAUUAAGUACAAGAAGCAUUUGACAAACUGAGGUUGGUUGGGAUUGCUGAGCAUGUGUGGUCUGGUGGUGCUGUAGUUUUUGUUGGUGUUUCAUUGGUUGUGUUUCAAAGGUUAAUUUGUGUCUGUUAGGUGGAGUUUAUCACGAGUAUUAGAAUACGAAAGGAUUGUCAUUUUCAUAUUUGAGCUAGUCAUAAUGGUCUUGCCCGGUGUUCAGUUUCUGCUACAGCCAAGUAUUUUGGUGCACUUAAUGUGCUGCUAAGCCUGAGACAGUGGAGGUGGUCUUUGAGUUUGUGAAGAAACAAUUGGGACUCCCCGAUACUACUGAGGUUUCGGGAGACUCAAAAAUUUCCAGCACUUGAAAGAGUUUAGGAUCAGCGUGGAAGAAGAAAGUGCUCAGACCAUUGCCAAAGUUCAAGAUGCAGCGGAUUUGAUUGAGAAGCUUUGCAAGAAAAAAUAGUAAAGAUGUUUAAAAUAAUUGUUUGAUCGUAGCUGUUAAGAAUUGGAGCCAACUCUUUGUGUUUGUCAAGAAAAUUAUCAGAGAGGCUAUUUGAUAUGUAUUGCUCUGCUGUGUUCACUUAAGAGAAUAUUUUUGUCAAAAAGCAAUUUAGUCUCAGGCAAA